CCUACGGGAGGCAGCAGUGGGGAAUUUUGGACAAUGGGCGCAAGCCUGAUCCAGCAAUGCCGCGUGAGUGAAGAAGGCCUUCGGGUUGUAAAGCUCUUUUGUCAGGGAAGAAACGGCUGAGGCUAAUAUCCUCGGCUAAUGACGGUACCUGAAGAAUAAGCACCGGCUAACUACGUGCCAGCAGCCGCGGUAAUACGUAGGGUGCAAGCGUUAAUCGGAAUUACUGGGCGUAAAGCGUGCGCAGGCGGUUUUGUAAGUCUGUCGUGAAAGCCCCGGGCUUAACCUGGGAAUUGCGAUGGAGACUGCAAGGCUUGAAUCUGGCAGAGGGGGGUAGAAUUCCACGUGUAGCAGUGAAAUGCGUAGAGAUGUGGAGGAACACCGAUGGCGAAGGCAGCCCCCUGGGUCAAGAUUGACGCUCAUGCACGAAAGCGUGGGGAGCAAACAGGAUUAGAUACCCUGGUAGUCCACGCCCUAAACGAUGUCUACUAGUUGUCGGGUCUUAAUUGACUUGGUAACGCAGCUAACGCGUGAAGUAGACCGCCUGGGGAGUACGGUCGCAGAUUAAAACUCAAAUGAAUUGACGGCUGAGAGNGCGAGACGACGACGAGGGAGGAGG
rnacentral:rRNA from 1 species